GAUCUCCGAGUCCUUGUCUCUAAGGUGGAAACUACGGGACAUGGACCAGGAAGAUUCCCGCAUGAUUCCGAUCCGGGAUCUGUCAGGGAUACUUCCUCAGGGUAUUGCCGGAAACAGCAAUGCCUCCCUACCCUUGGAAAGGAGAGUU
rnacentral:ncRNA from 1 species